rnacentral:rRNA from 1 species
GAUGAACGCUGGCGGCGUGCCUAAUACAUGCAAGUCGAGCGAACAGACGAGGAGCUUGCUCCUCUGACGUUAGCGGCGGACGGGUGAGUAACACGUGGAUAACCUACCUAUAAGACUGGGAUAACUUCGGGAAACCGGAGCUAAUACCGGAUAAUAUAUUGAACCGCAUGGUUCAAUAGUGAAAGACGGUUUUGCUGUCACUUAUAGAUGGAUCCGCGCCGCAUUAGCUAGUUGGUAAGGUAACGGCUUACCAAGGCAACGAUGCGUAGCCGACCUGAGAGGGUGAUCCGCCACCCCUGAACGUAGGCACCGGCCAAGAUCCUACGGGAGGCAGGCGGAGGGAAACUUCCGGCAAUGGGGGAAGCCCUACCGAGGAACCGCGGCGGGAGUAAUAAGGUCCUUCGAUUGGUAAACUCUGUUAUUAGGGAAGAACAAAUGUGUAAGUAACUAUGCACGUCUUGACGGUACCUAAUCAGAAAGCCACGGCUAACUACGUG